rnacentral:lncRNA from 1 species
CCAUAUCAUGCAUUGGUAGUCUAAAUUAGUUUAAUUUUGAUUUAGUACCAACUUGGUGAAACUCUCGAUUUUGUACUGUGUCAAGGUGGUGAGUCCUCCGAUAAAGGCAAGGAAAUUGCAUCCGAGGACCAGUAGACAGAGUGCUUCGAAAGUCUGCAUUCUAGACAUUGUGAGUAAACUUACUGUCAUUUUAAUUAUCUAGGGUGGUUUUUAGAUGCUUUCAUGAAUUCUAUGGAAAAAGGAAUUUAAAAAGAUAAAUUUUCAUGUUUUAUGAAUAAAUGAGUUUCAAUGAAAUUAAAUUAUAAAUUGUUUUGAAAUUAAUAGUGAUUUUGAAAAAUAGAGUACACGAAGACUGUUAAUUGUGGCAAUUUGAUUGUUUAAAUUAACUGGCUUAUGAUAAAUCGAGCAUGAUUGGCUAGUUGGCAAUUGUAUUGAAAUGCGAAUUGUUUGGUUACCUUGAAAAACUGUGAAUUACAAAAUUGUCAUAUCAUGUUAUUGAGUUUUAUUAUAUGGUGGAUUAUAUAUUAAUUAAUCACUCCAGUAGGGGGUUUCUAUGGACCAGCCUUUUAGAGGGGCACGGUAAACCCCAUUAUAUUCUUACCUCGAACGGAGAGGCGCGUAGGGUAUCUCAUAGGGUAAAGUUUAGGGUUCACUUCACGCUAAACCACCACGUGAGGGGAAACUCAGCCAACGCCAAGGAACGACUAUGUUUUCAAAACAAAAACAUGAUUUAUGUAAAAUGUGAAUUUUAAUCGCCUUGGCGGUCUCGGUAGGAUGCCUCGGCCAAGAUGUCCCUGAGAAUGGAUUUAUGGCACAAACCUAGAUUUUUAUGAGAUUCAUAAGCCUCUUUACGUGUUUUGAACAAAAUGUGUUCUAAUGCUAUAACCCAGUUUAUGAUGAUUUACUUUAUUGUCUCCAUGUACUAAACUCUAGAUGUUUAUGAUGAUAUCUGUUUACUCAUUGGGAUUUUAUAAUCUCACCACCCUCCUUUCCACCCAUUUCAGGUUCAGUAUAGACUGUAGAUAGCUGAUAUCAUCGAGGACUACAGUGGGAUCUGCAUUUUCCAAACCGUAGGUUCACAGUCCUCUUUACUUUUGUUUAUUCGGGGGCCCUCUUGUUAUUGUAAAUUAAAUUAAAUAUUUUGGCUUACUGUAUUUGAGUAUGUAUAAAUUUAUUUAGCUUUUACGCUAUAAAAAUUAUUCACGUAUAACUCUAUAAAUAUUGUUUUAUAAGAAAAUAAAAUAUUUUACUUAAUAUUUCUUUUAUUUUCUUAUUAUAUUCAAAUAACCAUAAUUUCAUUUCAAAUGAAGAUUUUAGACUUUUAAACUCAUUUUGAAUAUGAAUUAUUUGUUUUGUACUUGUAUAUUACGUUUUAGCCAGUUUCAAAAUCUUUGAAAAAAAUGACCAAAAUACCCUUAUGAGAUGAAAAAAAUUAAUAUUUUAUUUGUUUAAAGUUGGAAACAGUUUAAAAUCUUUUAAAACACGAUAUUUGACAAUGGUUGCUCACAAGGGAAUAGAGAAACUGAUAGUAAAGCCUUGCGGGGUUUCGGGUUCACAUUCUGGGCAAUGAGUGUUUACCGAGACACCGCAGCGGUUGUCACGGGCUCGAGGGGAGUACCGGGUCUGACAAUUCGAUUGGUAUCAGAGCUUUUGGUUUUAAAGAUCAAUGUUUUUAGUUUUAAAGUUGUUUUAAAAAUUUACAAUAUCAGUGUGGCCCUGGAUUAAGUUAAGUUAGGUUAGGUUGAAUAGAAUGCAUACAUCUGCAUAUAGAGCCUAAGGUUACCUAAACUUGCUCGUAUUUUUUUUAUAUAGAUUACAAUGCCUCCUCGACGAGGACGCCCACCUCUCAUUAGAUCGGUUGGGAGGGGAAGAGGUCGUUCCCAACGUCAUCAGCCAGAUACAGUAGAGGAGGAAUCAGCUGCAUCUACCAUUCGGGCAGCACCUGCUACUGAGCAGGCCGAUAGUCCUCCACAUCCUCCAUCUCCUCAGCCACCUACGGGUAUUCUCGCCAUGCCUACUGAGGCAGCACAAGCAUUGGCAGCUUUCUUUGCAGCAAUGGCUGGUCAAGCUCAAACUGGUCAAGUUCCACCUGUAGUGCCUCCAGCUACUCCUUUAGUUCCACCACCAAUACAGGAUGUAUCCAUUUCCAAGAAGCUGAAGGAGGCUAGGCAAUUGGGUUGUGUAUCUUUCACUGGUGAGUUGGAUGCCACUGUGGCAAAGGACUGGAUUAAUCAGGUGUCCGAGACUCUCUCUGAUAUGGGAUUAGAUGAUGACAUGAAGCUGAUGGUGGCUACGAGAUUAUUAGAGAAGAGGGCUCGUACUUGGUGGAAUUCGGUGAAGUCCCGUUCCGCUACUCCUCAGACAUGGUCCGAUUUUCUCAGGGAAUUCGAUGGUCAGUAUUUCACUUAUUUCCAUCAAAAAGAAAAGAAGAGAGAAUUUCUGAGUUUGAAACAGGGAAAUCUAACUGUAGAGGAGUACGAGACUCGUUUUAACGAGUUGAUGUUAUAUGUGCCGGAUCUGGUGAAAUCUGAGCAGGAUCAGGCCAGCUAUUUCGAGGAAGGGCUCCGUAAUGAGAUCAGAGAGCGAAUGACAGUGAUUGGUAGGGAGCCACAUAAGGAGGUGGUACAGAUGGCUUUACGGGCUGAGAAGCUCGCGACUGAGAAUAGAAGGAUUCGGACUGAGUUUGCAAAAAGGAGGAAUCCUGGUAUGUCUUCUAGUCAGCCAGUAAAAAGAGGCAAGGACUCAGCGACUUCAGGGAGCACUACUUCUGUUUCCGUGACAUCUCCUCGACCUCCAUUUCCACCAUCACAGCAGAGACCUUCGAGGUUUAGCAGAUCUGCUAUGACUGGUUCUGGGAAGAGUCUCGGAGGUUCUGACAGAUGCAGAAAUUGUGGGAAUUAUCAUAGUGGGCUAUGUAGAGGGCCAACAAGAUGUUUCCAAUGUGGACAGACGGGUCACAUUAGGAGUAAUUGCCCACAGUUAGGACGAGCCACUGUAGCUGCAUCAUCUCCACCAGCUCGCACAGAUAUACAGAGGAGAGAUUCUUCUGGGUUACCACAGAGACAGGGAGUAGCCAUACGGUCUGGUGUGGAGAGUAAUACCCCGUCACAUCCACCUUCGAGACCACAGACUCGUACCGCGACAAGAGUUUUUGCUGUGACAGAAGAUGAGGCACGAGUCCGACCUGGAGCAGUGACAGGUACUAUGUCUUUAUUUGAUAAAGAUGCUUAUGUUUUGAUAGAUUCUGGCUCAGAUAGAUCUUAUGUGAGUACGACAUUUGCAUCAAUUACUGAUAGAAACCUGUCACCAUUAGAGGAAGAAAUUGUAGUGCAUACCCCUCUAGGAGAACAGUUGAUUAGAAAUACUUGUUAUAGAGACUGUGGGGUAAGGGUAGGUGAGGAAGAAUUUAGGGGUGACUUAAUUCCUCUAGAGAUCUUGGAUUUUGAUUUAAUAUUAGGUAUGGACUGGUUAACUGCACAUCGGGCGAAUGUGGAUUGUUUCCGAAAAGAAGUUGUUCUUCGGAAUUCGGAGGGAGCAGAGAUUGUGUUUGUAGGGGAAAGUCGAGUAUUACCAUCUUGUGUAAUCUCGGCCAUCAAAGCUUCAAAAUUAGUGCAAAAAGGGUAUCCGACUUAUUUGGCAUACGUGAUUGAUACUUCAAAGGGGGAACCUAAGUUAGAGGAUGUCCCAAUAGUAAGUGAGUUUCUUGAUGUAUUUCCUGAUGAUUUACCGGGAAUACCUCCUAAUCGAGAGCUUGAGUUCCCUAUUGAUUUACUUCCGGGUACCGCACCUAUUUCUAUUCCUCCAUAUAGAAUGGCUCCAGCAGAGUUGAAGGAACUGAAAGCCCAGUUGCAAGAUUUGGUGGAUAAAGGUUUCAUUCGCCCUAGCAUUUCUCCUUGGGGAGCACCAGUCCUAUUUGUAAAGAAGAAAGAUGGCACUCUUCGAUUGUGUAUUGAUUACCGUCAGCUGAACCGAGUGACCAUCAAGAAUAAAUACCCUUUACCCCGGAUAGAUGAUCUUUUUGAUCAAUUACGAGGUGCUAUGGUAUUCUCUAAGAUUGAUUUGAGAUCUGGGUACUAUCAGUUGAGGAUUAAGGAGCAGGAUGUACCUAAGACUGCCUUCAGGACGCGUUAUGGGCAUUAUGAGUUUCUGGUGAUGCCGUUUGGUUUGACUAAUGCCCCGGCAGUUUUUAUGGAUCUUAUGAACAGGGUGUUCCAUCCAUACUUGGAUAAGUUUGUGAUAGUAUUCAUCGAUGACAUCCUGGUUUAUUCGAAGAAUGAUGAUGAACAUGCUGCCCAUUUGCGCAUUGUGUUGCAAACUUUGCGCGAGAGACAACUCUAUGCCAAGUUCUCUAAAUGUGAAUUCUGGUUGAAGGAAGUGGUUUUCUUGGGACAUGUGGUGUCCGGAGCUGGAAUUUAUGUCGAUCCCAAGAAGAUUGAGGCAAUCUUGCAAUGGGAGCAACCGAGAACGGUAACUGAGAUUCGUAGUUUCCUUGGCUUAGCCGGUUAUUACCGGAGAUUUGUUCAGGGAUUUUCUUUGAUAGCAGCUCCUCUGACUCGUUUGACUCGUAAAGGAGUUAAGUAUGAGUGGGAUGAUGUUUGUGAGAAUCGAUUUCAGGAGCUAAAGAACCGGUUAACCUCCGCUCCCGUUUUAACACUUCCUGUUAGUGGAAAAGAAUUUGUGGUAUAUAGCGAUGCAUCUAAGUUGGGAUUAGGGUGUGUGUUGAUGCAGGACGAGAAAGUAAUAGCUUAUGCUUCCCGACAGUUGAAGAAGCACGAGACGAAUUACCCUACUCAUGACUUGGAGUUAGCAGCAGUAGUAUUCGCAUUGAAGAUUUGGAGACAUUAUUUAUAUGGUGAGCGUUGUCGGAUUUUUUCUGAUCAUAAAAGUUUGAAGUAUUUGCUCACCCAGAAAGAGCUUAACUUGAGACAGAGACGAUGGUUGGAGUUGAUUAAGGAUUAUGACUUAGUGAUUGAUUAUCAUCCGGGAAAAGCAAAUGUUGUAGCGGAUGCCUUAAGUCGUAAAUCCUCAUCGUCGUUAGCAACACUUCAAAGUUCUUAUUUUCCGAUGUUACUUGAGAUGAAAUCUCUAGGGAUCCAGUUGAAUAAUGGUGAGGAUGGAACCCUACUUGCUAGUUUCGUCGUGAGACCUUCAUUGUUGAAUCAGAUAAGAGAAUUGCAGAAAUCUGAUGAUUGGUUGAAACAGGAAGUUCAAAAGCUGCAAGAUGGAGAAGCUAGUGAGUUUAGACUCAGCGAUGAUGGUACUUUCAUGCUUAGAGACCGAAUUUGUGUUCCUAAGGAUGAUCAGUUGAGACGAGCUAUUUUGGAGGAAGCUCAUUCUUCCGCCUACGCUUUACAUCCCGGAAGCACCAAGAUGUAUCGGACUAUUAAAGAAAGUUAUUGGUGGCCGGGUAUGAAACGAGACAUAGCAGAGUUUGUAGCGAAAUGUCUCACAUGCCAACAGAUCAAGGCGGAGCAUCAAAAACCGUCAGGUACUCUUCAACCUUUACCGAUUCCUGAAUGGAAGUGGGAACAUGUGACUAUGGACUUUGUAUUGGGUUUGCCGCGGACACAAAGUGGGAAGGAUGCUAUUUGGGUGAUUGUGGAUAGAUUGACUAAGUCCGCCCAUUUCUUGGCUAUCCAUAGCACGUAUUCUAUUGAGAGGCUGGCAAGACUUUAUAUAGAUGAGAUUGUGAGAUUACACGGAGUCCCAGUUUCUAUUGUGUCAGAUCGAGACCCUCGAUUUACUUCUCGAUUUUGGCCGAAAUUUCAGGAAGCUCUUGGAACUAAAUUGAGAUUUAGUACUGCCUUUCAUCCACAGACAGAUGGUCAAUCUGAGAGAACUAUUCAGACCUUGGAGGAUAUGUUACGGGCUUGUGUCAUUGACUUUAUCGGGAGUUGGGACAGACACUUGCCAUUGGUGGAGUUUGCUUAUAAUAACAGUUUUCAGUCUAGUAUUGGGAUGGCACCAUACGAGGCUUUGUAUGGAAGGAAAUGCCGAACUCCGCUCUGUUGGGAUGAAGUAGGUGAGAGGAAAUUGGUGAAUGUGGAAUUGAUUGAUUUGACAAACGAUAAGGUCAAAGUUAUCCGAGAGCGAUUAAAGACAGCUCAAGAUAGGCAGAAGAAUUAUUCGGAUAAACGAAGGAAAGAUUUGGAGUUUGAAGUCGACGAUAAAGUUUUUCUUAAGGUUUCUCCUUGGAAAGGUAAUAAUUUGAAAUUUCCAAGUAUUAAAUCUUAUUUGAUUAUACUAUUGUGAUAAUUUGUGGUAUUUAUUGGAUGAUGAAAGGUGUGAUUCGAUUCGCGAAGAGGGGAAAGCUCAAUCCAAGAUACAUUGGACCUUUUCGUAUCAUUGAAAGGAUUGGGCCAGUGGCUUACAGACUUGAAUUACCCCCAGAGUUAGAUCGAAUUCAUAAUGUCUUCCAUGUCUCGAUGUUGAAAAAGUAUGUUCCCGAUCCCUCUCACAUUUUAGAGACACCUCCCAUUGAGUUGCAUGAGGAUUUGAAGUUCGAGGUGCAGCCUGUACGUAUUCUAGAUCGAAAGGAUCGAGUGCUAAGGAACAAGAGCAUUCCAAUGGUGAAAGUAUUGUGGAAGAAUGCUCGAAUGGAGGAGAUGACGUGGGAAGUCGAGAGCCAGAUGAGAAACCAAUAUCCACAUCUUUUAUUCGAAUCAGGUAAGUGAAAUUUUGAGGUCAAAAUUUUAUUUUAAGGGGGGUAGUGCUGUAAAGCCCGACCUUAUAAAAUACUAUUCAUGACAUACAUGUGAUGAUAGCAUGAUUGCAUGCUAGGAGAGUCCCGAAAAAUUUACAAAAGUCGGUAUUGUACCUAGAGGUACAACAAAGUUUAUUUAAUCCUCGAACUAGAUCAAAUAGGAAUUUUAAGGUGAGAUUAAGAGUUUCACAGUUCAUGGAUGACUUAAAAUGGUAAUUUGGAGUUUGAGGAUCAAUUUGGAGUCAAAUCGGAAUUUUCACUAACUAGGGGCAAAAUGGUCAUUUGCCACCUGGGGACAAAAUGGGAAUUUUAGAAAAGAUUUUUUUGACCCCAUUUGACUUAUUAGAGUAUAAUUUGACUUAUUGAAGUAUGAUUUGAGGUUUAGAAGUGAAAAAUUUUAAUUUCGGUAUAAUUUGGAGUAUAGGGGUAAAAUGGUAAUUUUGCCACCUCAGGGGCAAAAUUGUAAUUUUCCACCACCAGGAUAUUUUUUCCAGCACAUGGUCUUCCUUUGUCUUCAUCUUUGACCCUUGACUAAACAUGUGGUGGAGAUAAAAUGUUUAAAUUUUUAAAAUUUUAAAAACGGGCCAAUGACAUGAUGCCAUGUGUCAUGCCUUUAUUAAUUUAUUAUUUUCCUUUUUAAAAGGCACAAAAUCAGCCCAUCUUCCACCCCAUGGCCGGCCAAACCAGCAAGAAGAGAGAGAAAAAAAAAACAAAACCCUAGAGAGAGAAAAUCAAAGAAAAAGUGUGAAUUUUCAAGGAAAUUAAGUGAAAAAGGUGAGAUUUUUUCUAUUAAGCUUGAGUUUUCUUAUUCCCAAGCAUUUCUCUUUAUUUUCCAUGAUUAAAUUACAUGUUUUCAUGAUGAAUUCAAUUCUGAAAAAAUGGGUUAGGAGAGAGAAAGUUGUUGGAUUUAUUUGAUUUUAAUUUAUGUUAGUGUUUUUAGUUAGUUUAGCAUAUUUAGAAACAAAACAACAAGAAAAGAAUUUAUUUUCUCCCCCAACCAUUAAUGGCUGAAUUUACCAUGUAGUGAGUGAGGAUGAGUUUGAUUUUAUUCUAGGAGAAUUGGUUAAGGAAUGAUGAAUUAUGAGCCUAGAAAAAUAAUGGGAAUUUUCGGAGCAAAAAUACGAAUUUUUACCCACUAGGGGUAUUUUCGUAAUUUGCUGUUGGGACUGAUAAUUUGCACCACACUGAGGGACAUUAAGUUAAUUUGGGUGCAAUUGAGGUAUAGAAACUGAAAAGAAUUAAAUUGGAGUUUAAACGGACCCGUUAGGAAUUUAAUCGGGUGAUAAGACGAAUUAGGCCAAUACCGGGUUUAGAUAGUUACCAGUGCAUUUUUGCAUUCCAUAUCAUGCAUUGGUAGUCUAAAUUAGUUUAAUUUUGAUUUAGUACCAACUUGGUGAAACUCUCGAUUUUGUACUGUGUCAAGGUGGUGAGUCCUCCGAUAAAGGCAAGGAAAUUGCAUCCGAGGACCAGUAGACAGAGUGCUUCGAAAGUCUGCAUUCUAGACAUUGUGAGUAAACUUACUGUCAUUUUAAUUAUCUAGGGUGGUUUUUAGAUGCUUUCAUGAAUUCUAUGGAAAAAGGAAUUUAAAAAGAUAAAUUUUCAUGUUUUAUGAAUAAAUGAGUUUCAAUGAAAUUAAAUUAUAAAUUGUUUUGAAAUUAAUAGUGAUUUUGAAAAAUAGAGUACACGGAGACUGUUAAUUGUGGCAAUUUGAUUGUUUAAAUUAACUGGCUUAUGAUAAAUCGAGCAUGAUUGGCUAGUUGGCAAUUGUAUUGAAAUGCGAAUUGUUUGGUUACCUUGAAAAACUACGAAUUACAAAAUUGCCAUAUCAUGUUAUUGAGUUUUAUUAUAUGGUGGAUUAUAUAUUAAUUAAUCACUGCAGUAGGGGGUUUCUGUGGACCAGCCUUUUAGAGGGGCACGGUAAACCCCAUUAUAUUCUUACCUCGAACGGAGAGGCGCGUAGGGUAUCUCCUGGGGUAAAGUUUAGGGUUCACUUCACGCUAAACCACCACGUGAGGGGGAACUCAGCCAACGCCAAGGAACGGCUAUGUUUUCAAAACAAAAACAUGAUUUAUGUGAAAUGUGAAUUUUAAUAGCCUUGGCGGUCUCGGUAGGAUGCCUCGGCCAAGGUGUCCCCGAGAAUGGAUUUAUGGCACAAGCCUAGAUUUUUAUGAGAUUCAUAAGCCUUUUUACGUAUUUUGAACGAGAUGUGUUCUAAUUGUAUAACCCAGUUUAUGAUGAUUUACUUUAUUGUCUCCAUGUACUCAACUCUAGAUGUUUAUGAUGAUGUCUGUUUACUCAUUGGGAUUUUAUAAUCUCACCACCCUCCUUUCCACCCAUUUCAGGUUCAGUAUAGACUGUAGAUAGCUGAUCUCAUCGAGGACUACAGUGGGAUCUGCAUUUUCCAAACCGUAGGUUCACAGUCCUCUUUACUUUUGUUUAUUCGGGGGCACUCUUGUUAUUGUAAAUUAAAUUAAAUAUUUUGGCUUACUGUAUUUAAGUAUGUAUAAAUUUAUUUAGCUUUUACGCUAUAAAAA